rnacentral:rRNA from 1 species
UGCGUAGGCGGAUUAAUAAGUCAGUGGUGAAAUCUUUCGGCUCAACCGAGAAACUGCCAUUGAUACUGUUAAUCUUGAGUUCGGUUGAGGUAGGCGGAAUGUGUAAUGUAGCGGUGAAAUGCUCAGAUAUUACACAGAACACCAAUUGCGUAGGCAGCUUACUAGACCGACACUGACGCUGAGGCACGAAAGCGUGGGGAGCGAACAGGAUUAGAUACCCUGGUAGUCC